rnacentral:rRNA from 1 species
AAGUACCCCGAGGAAAAGAAAUCAACCGAGAUUCCCCCAGUAGCGGCGAGCGAACGGGGAGCAGCCCAGAGUCUGAAUCAGCUUGUGUGUUAGUGGAACGGUCUGGAAAGUCCGACGGUACAGGGUGAUAGUCCCGUACACCAAAAUGCACAGGUUGUGAACUCGAAGAGUAGGGCGGGACACGUGGUAUCCUGUCUGAAUAUGGGGGGACCAUCCUCCAAGGCUAAAUACUCCUGACUGACCGAUAGUGAACCAGUACCGUGAGGGAAAGGCGAAAAGAACCCCGGCGAGGGGAGUGAAAAAGAACCUGAAACCGUGUACGUACAAGCAGUGGGAGCACCUU